GAAUAUUCAAGAUUGGACUCCACAUGGGUAUCUUUAGCUACAAGUGCCAAUUCAGGUGACUGGCUCUCAAUAUCUGUCACUACCUCUUCCACAGUAGUGAUGUGAAAUGACUUGGUUGUACUUAGAUCAAUAGUCUCCCUUUGGGAAUCAUUUUGGACAAAAUCUAAUUCUAUAGGUUCGUCUUCAAAGUCUUCUUCAUAGUCUUCUAUAUUUGGUUCAUAGACUUCUUCAACAUAUUCGACCUCUUGGCUCCUAACUUCUGGUUCAGUAAUCAGGUAGGUUCUAAUAGGACAUUGGGAUGCUAUGUGGUCGAAUUGUUGACACAUUG
rnacentral:lncRNA from 1 species